UGGAACUUGAUAGCCCCUAACCCCUAUAUUGAAGUAAUGGAUGUUUUUAUGGCAAAUACAACUUUUAACAACGGAUCUCUUGGCUCUCGCAUCGAUGAAGAACGCAGCGAAAUGCGAUAAGUAAUGUGAAUUGCAGAAUUCAGUGAAUCAUCGAAUCUUUGAACGCACCUUGCGCUCUCUGGUAUUCCGGGGAGCACACCUGUUCGAGUGUCAUUAAGACUUAUCAAGUGAGGUCUAUCUCUCUUUGGAUUUGGGCUUUGCUGCAUUAAUGUGGCUAGUCUUAAAUAUAUUAGCUGGUCCUUGUUGAGGUUUUGGUUCUACUCGGCGUGAUAAUUUAUCUAACGUUGAGGACAGUUUUCAGAACUGGCUUGUAGCUGGCUGUAGCUGGCCAUAGCUCUCUCUCUGGAUUGCUUCUAACUGAACACAAUUGCUGGCCUCGAAUCAGGUGGGACUACCCGCUGAACUUAAGCAUAUCAAUAAGCGGAGGAAAAGAAACUAACAAGGAUUCCCUUAGUAACUGCGAGUGAA
rnacentral:rRNA from 1 species